rnacentral:rRNA from 1 species
CGUAGGGUGCGAGCGUUAAUCGGAAUUACUGGGCGUAAAGCGUGCGCAGGCGGUUUUGUAAGACUAGAUGUGAAAUCCCCGGGCUCAACCUGGGACCUGCAUUUGUGACUGCAAGGCUAGAGUACGGUAGAGGGGGAUGGAAUUCCGCGUGUAGCAGUGAAAUGCGUAGAUAUGCGGAGGAACACCGAUGGCGAAGGCAAUCCCCUGGACCUGUACUGACGCUCAUGCACGAAAGCGUGGGGAGCAAACAGGAUUAGAUACCCUGGUAGUCCACGCCCUAAACGAUGUCAACUGGUUGUUGGGUCUUUACUGACUCAGUAACGAAGCUAACGCGUGAAGUUGACCGCCUGGGGAGUACGGCCGCAAGGUUG